rnacentral:tRNA from 2 species
GCAGUCGUGGCCCAGUGGUUGAGGCGAUGGACUAGGAAUCCAUUGGGGUCUCCCCACACGUGUUCAAAUCUUGUCAACUGCG